GACGUAGGGCGCGAGCGUUGUCCGGAUUUAUUGGGCGUAAAGAGCUCGUAGGCGGCUUGUCGCGUCGACUGUGAAAUCCCGCGGCUCAACUGCGGGUCUGCAGUCGAUACGGGCAGGCUAGAGUUCGGUAGGGGAGACUGGAAUUCCUGGUGUAGCGGUGAAAUGCGCAGAUAUCAGGAGGAACACCGGUGGCGAAGGCGGGACUCUGGGCCGAUACUGACGCUGAGGAGCGAAAGCGUGGGGAGC
rnacentral:rRNA from 1 species